GGGUCAGUAGGUUGGUCGUGCCACCGGUACGUACUGGUCUCACUGAUUCCUCCAUCCUGAAGAACCGUAAUGCCAUUGAUUUGGUGUUGCGGGGAAACAGGACUGUUACUUUGAAAAAAUUAGAGUGUUUAAAGCAAGCUAACGCUUGAAUACAUUAGCAUGGAAUAAUGAAAUAGGACGAUCGAUCCUAUUUUGUUGGUUUCUAGGAUUGACGUA
rnacentral:rRNA from 1 species